GACAGAGCUCUACUCUAUGGAGGGAAUGUUCUGUCUGCCUCCACUUUUAAAAGCUGUAUUUUAUUUUUAUUUUCAUCCUCAGAGAUUCACUUUAUUUUCCUCUUUCCCAGAUGGUUGGAGAUAGCAGCUCUCCAGUUGCUGACAUACAACGGUCCCUGUUCUUCGUUUCCAGUGGUGACAGGCAGAGCGGAUGGUGGCUGUUUCAGUGGGUGCUCCUUACAUUCACACAUGGUUAAGUGCCUUGUUCAAGGACCCCUUGGCAGGGUGGAUGCUUUAUCACCACGGGGAACUAAUCCUGGGCCCAUGACUGAAGAGCAAGGGACCUUUCGUUAAGUACCUGGUCUCUAUUGAAGCUGUGUGUGUGUUUAUGCAAAUGAGCUGUGUGGUUGCUCCAACAUCCUUGGCUGAAGACGGUGAUUGGAUUGACGUCGUCCAAUCGCAGCGCACAGCCGGCGCACACCUGCUGGGGAGGAGUACAAAGGCUGCGGACUAUCACCACUCUGGAGGCUCUGACAUGUGGACAGACGCCUCUCGCUACUUGCUCUAAUAGAAUUCUGUUAACUGUGGUUAAACUUGUGUGAUUAGUAGUGUCUAGAGUAGCUUAGUUAGAGUGUAGAGUAGUUUAGUUAGUGUUUAGAGUAGAUUAGGAUUGUGUGACUGUUGCCUUUUAGUUUAGCUGUGUGUUUUGUAUAUAUUCCUGUGUUAGUCUGUACCACUUUUAAAGUGAGGUUUUGUUUCGUUCUUUAUUUAGCAUAUUAGUAUUUAUUUUCCCUGUAUGCCUUUUGAGUCCUCCCUUAGUUUGGUUAUCUGUCAACCUGUGCCCUUUUGUUUGUUUCAGGCUGCACGCCUUCCAUUUUGUU